rnacentral:rRNA from 1 species
GAUCAUGGCUCAGGACGAACGCUGGCGGCGCGCCUAACACAUGCAAGUCGAACGAGCGAGAGAGAGCUUGCUUUCUCGAGCGAGUGGCGAACGGGUGAGUAACGCGUGAGGAACCUGCCUCAAAGAGGGGGGACAACAGUUGGAAACGACUGCUAAUACCGCAUAAGCCCACGACCCGGCAUCGGGUAGAGGGGAAAAAGGGAAGGCAAUCCGCCUUGUAGAUGGCUCGCGUCCGACUUAGUCUAGUUGG